rnacentral:tmRNA from 1 species
GGGGCUGAUUCUGGAUUCGACGGGAUAAGCAAAGCCCAAGGUGCAUGCCGAGGGGCGGUUGCCUCGUAAAAAACCGUGAAAAAAUAGUUGC